rnacentral:rRNA from 1 species
CCUACGGGCGGCUGCAGUGGGGAAUUUUGCGCAAUGGGCGAAAGCCUGACGCAGCAACGCCGCGUGGGUGAUGAAGGUCUUCGGAUCGUAAAACCCUGUCGUCAGGGACGAAGGUUGCAUGUCGAAUAGAUGUGCAGCUUGACGGUACCUGGAGAGGAAGCCCCGGCUAACUCUGUGCCAGCAGCCGCGGUAAUACAGAGGGGGCAAGCGUGACGCGGAGUUAUCGGGCGUAAUGAGCGCAGUGGGGGUGGUAAUCCCCGAGCUUAACUUGGGAACUGCAUCUCAGACUGUGUCGCUAGAGUACUGGAGAGGGUGGUAGAAUUCCACGUGUAGCGGUGAAAUGCGUAGAGAUGUGGAGGAAUACCAGUGGCGAAGGCGGCCACCUGGACAGUAACUGACGCUGAGGCGCGAAAGUGUGGGGAGCAAACAGGAUUAGAUACCCUGGUAGUC